GUUUCUGUGGUGUAGUGGUUAUCACAUCCGCCUAACACGCGGAAGGUCCCAGGUUCGAGCUCUGGCAGAAACA
rnacentral:tRNA from 1 species